rnacentral:rRNA from 1 species
GACGAACGCUGGCGGCGUGCUUAACACAUGCGAGUCGAACGGAAAGGCCCUGCUUGCCGGGUACUCGAGUGGCGAACGGGUGAGUAGCACGUGGGUGAUCUGCCCUGCACUUCGGGAUAAGCCUGGGAAACUGGGUCUAAUACCGGAUAGGAGCCAUUUUUAGUGUGAUGGUUGGAAAGUUUUUUCGGUGUAGGAUGAGCUCGCGGCCUAUCAGCUUGUUGGUGGGGUAAUGGCCUACCAAGGCGGCGACGGGUAGCCGGCCUGAGAGGGUGGACGGCCACAUUGGGACUGAGAUACGGCCCAGACUCCUACGGGAGGCAGCAGUGGGGAAUAUUGCACAAUGGGCGCAAGCCUGAUGCAGCGACGCCGCGUGGGGGAUGACGGCCUUCGGGUUGUAAACGCCUUUCGCUAGGGACGAAGCUUUUUGUGACGGUACCUAGAGAAGAAGCACCGGCUAACUACGUG